rnacentral:rRNA from 1 species
CCUACGGGGUGCAGCAGUGAGGAAUAUUGGUCAAUGGACGAGAGUCUGAACCAGCCAAGUAGCGUGAAGGAUGACUGCCCUAUGGGUUGUAAACUUCUUUUAUAUGGGAAUAAAACGUUCCACGUGUGGGAUUUUGUAUGUACCAUAUGAAUAAGGAUCGGCUAACUCCGUGCCAGCAGCCGCGGUAAUACGGAGGAUCCGAGCGUUAUCCGGAUUUAUUGGGUUUAAAGGGAGCGUAGGUGGAUUGUUAAGUCAGUUGUGAAAGUUUGCGGCUCAACCGUAAAAUUGCAGUUGAAACUGGCAGUCUUGAAUACAGUAGAGGUGGGCGGAAUGCGUGGUGUAGCGGUGAAAUGCUUAGAUAUCACGAAGAACUCCGAUUGCGAAGGCAGUUCACUGGACUGCAACUGACACUGAGGCUCGAAAGUGUGGGUAUCAAACAGGAUUAGAUACCCCAGUAGUC